rnacentral:tRNA from 1 species
GGCGGCAUAGCCAAGAGGACCAAGGCGACGGAUUGCAAAUCCGUUAUCGUGGGUUCGAAUCCCACUGCCGCCUCCA